rnacentral:lncRNA from 1 species
AACUCUACCAAAACCGUAGAUCUAAAAAAUUCGUUGUCGGCAGGACUUUUGCUCUAGCUUAAGGCUGGUGGCAGCCUUUCUCCUCCUUCCCCUCACCUUCCUCUUUCUUGUUCUUAUGGAUUGCUCAAAUUUGUUUCAUUUCAAUAUUUUGUCAACAAGUACCUCCCUAGUGAGGUUAUUUCGGAGUCUCCUGGUGAGUAUCUUAGUUUUAAGUUGGUGUGUUCUCGGCUCCUCUUGGGUUUACUCCCUAUUUUUGGUAGCUUCACUAAUAGUGUUGUGCAUAAAAUUCAUGCUAGUAUGGACACUAGUUGGUUUGUUGUCAACUCCUCUUCGAAGUUGACGCUGCUUGCUGUCAAAGAGUGUACUUCUGCUUGGUAUUUUGCAGUUUGGGCUAAGCCACACAAACACACUGUCAUAUUAAUCAAAUACUGAACUAAGUGCACAAGCAUAUUUUUUCUAUAACAUGCCAUUGUCAGUAAAAUAAAAAAGACAUACCGCUAAAUUGUGUGCUAUUCCUAAGCUUGAUAAAUUUUAGACCUAAGUAUUGUACAACAUCCGAGUAUUAGGGACGUUUCAAGUUUCUUUUGAAGUACUCUUCACAUGAUUCUUUCUAUGAACAAUUUACUAAUUAUUUAAUUUGGAAAUAGAUUGAAAAUCAUGGAAAGAAACGGUGGAAAUUAAAAGGUUGAAGUGAAGCUGGAAGACCAUGUUAUAACUCCAAUCUUCCCUUCCAACUUGUCGAAUGAAUCAUAUGACGAGUAUUUUGAUGACUAGAUCUCAAGCAUAGCAACAAAAAGAAUCCCACAAGACCAACCACGGUGGGAAAUUCAUGUUAUAAAGUACCCCCCAAUAGCAGUGCAGCUUGUACUGUGAUAUUCAAGUUUGCACCGUGCAUUAGGUGAUGACUACUCUCUCGUGGGCGAGUUUAUCUCCUGUCUACAAAGGGAUAUCAAUCCUUCUUUUUGCCUAACAUUUCCCUCACGACUGCCAUCGGAGCCUGAGGUUGGCAAUAUAAGAAUGUUGACCUCAAGUUUGACAGGUUAUGCUAGAGGGUAUGUGUUGAAAUAUUAUAUAGGAGACAUGGGAAGGGACAUGGAAUUGGGAACCAAGCUUUUUUCGUUCUAGAAGCAGGAUAAGAAAUAUGAUUGGAGAAGAAUUUUUCAACUUCUUUCUAAAUUUUAGUUAAAAGCACAUAUGGGGAGUUCAUUAAAGAUGCUCUAAUAUUGUUGGCAAAGUUUUUACAAACUAUUUAUGUAGAGAAAUGCUAAGAUACUCUCAAAAGUAGAACUUGCUAUGGAUUCUCUCUCACAUCAUGUUUUUAACAUAAUAUUUUAUGUUGUUGACACGAAAAUAGACGUAAAACUAUGAGAUGUCAAAGUUCAUGAAGAGUUUUACUUUGAAGGUCCAUGAAAGUCCCAUAUUGACGUAAAAUUGACGUAAGAUUGACUUAAACCUGUAUUAGUGAUACAGCUCCCCUUAAACAAAAAGUUUCAACGGUAUUAAUUAACACUGACAAGGAAACAAAAUUAUAUACCUGUUAUAUUAUACAAUAUCUCUUCGCAUAAUCGCGAAUUCAAUGUGUUGUUUUAUGAUGAAGUUUGAUUAAUGGUAGAAGAGCAAUGGAGGGGGGACUGUGCAGAAUAACCGAAAGACUUGGGACUUUUAAGUCCUUCCAUUAAGAACGAUGAUUGUAUGUAAGUCAAGAAGAAUCCAUUAGGGUUGUUACGGACACUCUGUUAUCACUUUUGUUUUUGUAUAUUACCUCAUUUGUUAGGAAAGUGAACUGGUUUUGUUCGGGCAAAGAUUUCUCUGGCAAAGAUCUCUGGACCUCAGCACAGCUCUCCAAGGGAUUGACACUUUGGAUGUGUGUGUUUGGUAGUUGAGCUCUUACUUGUCUUGUGUGCUGCAAUAAGAGCUUGAAGUUAGUUCUGAAAUGUGCCUUCGUGGGGAUACGCCUUAAGGCUCGCAAUCAAAACUAACUAAAUGCUUAGGCUUGCCACUGCUAUUUCAGCAUAGUAGAUAUAGAACAAAUAUGUUAUGAGUCGAUUACUUACGCCCCAUGUUACUCAAACUUCUUGUUAUCAAAAGAUUGUCACAGAUAAGUUAAGUCUAUAUUAAGUUCUUUUCUUGCGUUGUAAACAAGGACUUUUAGUUCAUGGUCUCGUAUGUUCGAAUGGAAGGAGUCCAGAGCCCUUGUAAGUCAUUUGUUUGGUUCCAAAUUGCUCUUUAAUGAAAACAUAUCCAUUAAGUUAACCAGAUCCAGAUGCAAAUGAGACUCUUAAAAUAGAAAAACAUGUGGAAAUGACUUGAAUACAUGCUGAAAAGUGUAUUAAACGAUAGAUCUACUAAUUUAAAGGACAAACAAAGAGACUCGGGCAAGAUUUCACCUUGUCUGGUAAGGUUGAACCUCUUGCAGCCACUUCUCUUUGGUUUUACAAAGGUUGUAUGCUAAAAAUGGAUGGUUGUUAAACAGGUUUACAUGAGAGAGUCAAUACUACAACAUUGAAAAUGGUAGCAGAGCUUUUAUACUAGAGAAAAGAUAGUCUUUCUAAGGAAACUAUAGCUAAAAUGACUGAAUCUGAGUUGAUUUCAGCUUGAAGGGUACAAACUGGCUUGAGAGUAGAGUUUGUAAGUUUGUUUGUUUGAUUAGUUGAGUGUCCUUAUCUCUGUUGUCUCUUCUUCCUUUUAUAGGCGAUCUGGCCAGAGAGUAAGGGCAUUGAUCUUGCCCAAAAGCUCUUGGAGGGUAGUGAGUCAUCAACUUUUUACUUGUAAUGCCAUUGAAAAGUGUUUUUUGGCUGAUAGUAGGUUAUUCUCCAUCACUUGUUACUUCAGUUAUAGACACGUGUCUUAUGUCUUGGCUGAGAAGGUUUUAGUUUGCUUCUGGACUCGAUGUUGGGCUUCAGGCAAGUCAUCCUUUAAUUUGACAUCCUUGAGAUUCCCUUUAUCCAAGCCCAAUAUUCAAAUAUUAACCCAAACAAAUUUUUUAUUUGAAACAAUCAUAGGAAGAAAAGUUUAGCAUGAGAAAAUCAACUGAAGAAACGAAGAAUAAAAAUAGUUAUUAAAUGGGUGGUGGGAUCUUCAGUUGAUAUUUUGAAGAUUCGUGAGGGGUUUAUAGACAUGUCAACAUACUUUCGUUUACAGAUGUCAAUGAGAAAUUGGAGGAGUGUCAACUAAGAAUGGCAAAGUACUUAUGGGUAUGGAUAACCGCGGUUAUCCAUUCAUAUAAAAUUCACGAUUACGGUUAUGUGAAUAACCGUUUACCCGUGAAAUUUAGAAGGUAGUUAUGGGUAUUACCCCUGGUUAUAAACAUGAAUUCAUUUAACUAUUUAUUUUAAUGUAUGUAAAAUAAAUAAAACUAAAAAUCCUUAAAUUGUUCGAUGGACUCCCGCCGCUCAUCUCUCUCCUUGCUGUCAUCUCUUUCAUCUCCACUUCUCUCUUGUCUCCGGAGCGGCACCUGAACCUGCAUCCACGGCGGAGUUUCACAACGAAGCAUUUGUCUAUGUGGCACAUGUGAAUAAUUCCCAAACACUACGACAAUACGUGGUGUGAAAAAGGCUAUAACCUAUUGUCGUUUUUUCUCAUGGGGCAAAAGUCCAUACUGGAAAGGAAUCUGUAAUUCUGUAUGGCCAAUAUAUCCCAUUUUUAACUUUUACUGCUAAAUUAUUCUAAGGGAACAGCAACACCGAUCCUAUUACCUGUCUCUCUGUAAGACUUGCAGUGCCAUCUAGUUGGAAUUUGAUCAAAAUUCAAUAGAGAAAUAACAAAAUAAAUGAAAGCAAAUCUGAAUCCCAAAAGAAAUGGUACAGUGAGUCGGCUACAUACAUAACAAUGCAUGAAUGAUCAUGCUUAGCUAAUGGACGGCUAACUUUAACACUACUUUUUUUUUUUUUUUUUUUAACAAACGAUAUUAUCUACACUAAGAAGAAGAAGUAAGCUUAGCCUCACAAUAGACUAACAAUAAUAUGAUACAAUUUUACAUUUGGCGAGAUUCGAAAUUAAGAGCUCUCACUUACCCUACUUUAAUUUUUAAAUAUAUAGUUAAUCUCUCAUGCAUACAAUGCAUUAACGAUCACACAUCGUUCAUGAAUGACUAACCUUAAAACAAUGAAUGAUUGAACUUUAUCAAUGUUGUAACGGGUAAAUGGAUAAAUGGGUAAAAGAAGGGUAAAUGAUAGAAAACUGUAAACGGGUAAAUGGGUAAACGGAUGUACUAUUACGGUUAAAUGAGUAUGCAAUUAUGGGUACUGUUAACCGUUUAUAAACUGUUAUGGGUAUGAUUAUAACCGUUUAUGCAAUUACCCAAUGGGUAAACGGUUAUGUCAGGUAAAGAAUUAAAUGGUUAUGGUUAAAUAACUGCAAUUACUCUCCCGCCAUAACUGUUGCCAUCCUUAGUGUCAAUUCAGCUUUAGUUGUUAAAAUAGUGCCUCUUAAAAAUAUCUUCAAAGGAGAUAGAAAAUGGCAGCAAACUCUCUCCAACCAAGCAUUCAAUUUCCUAUGUGGCGCUGAGUCAAUUGAAGGCAAAGUAUUUUGUUGUCAAAUUUGACAGCAGAUAUCUAAUUUAUUAAAUAAUUUUUUUAAUAGAUCAAUAUAAUAUAUAAUCAAUGCUGUUUCUUUUUUCAAGUAUUUGAUUGGUUGCCUCAUUCAUGGGAGCCAACAAAAAUAGAAAAAAAAAUUAUUAAAUGGCAUUGUUAUUUAACAUAUCGGGUGAAGCAAAGUAUUGUACAAAAUGUCGGAUUGCCACAUAAGCCAUCAAAUAUCAUUUUAAUGUUUAAAAUUUGACACCUCCUUUGAAGAUGCUUUAAGUUGUUAGAAAAGUUGUUAAGAGGGUUGUUAGUAGUUAUUUAGCUGAAGAGCAUCUCCGAAAAUCUCUAAGUUUUUGUUAAACUAACAAGUAACCAAUGUCAAAAAAUUUAUUUUACUUCCCGUUUAACUUUUUAUCUCCAAUAACAUUCCCUAUUUUAAUAAGUUUUGAAUAUUUUAUUAUUAACAAUUCAAAUCCAACCUACUCAUUUUCUAAAACAAUAUUCUCUCUUUCUGUUUUCUCAAAGAAGGAUCCACACUUGAGAUUUAUUAUUUUUUCAAUAUUUAUGUGAUGAACAGUUGCUCAAUAAAUUUAAAGAGUGACUAUUCAUUUUGUUAUGUUAAAGACUCUUUUGUAGAGUUUGUUGGAAAAUUUUAUUUUUAUUUUUAAGUUUGGCUUUUAAUAAAGGGUUUUAGUUGUUUACAACAUCUCUUGGGGACGCUCUAAGCAAUGGCGGAUCUAUAGAGGGGCCUGGGAGGUCCCAGGACCCCUCGGCGAUCCUAAAUUGUUGCUAGAAAUUUUUCGAGGACCCCUCAUACUCGAACACGAGGUUUGUGCAGGUUGUAGUUGCAUCUUCCUUGAGAAGAAGACGACCACACAUGAGAAGAAAGAAAAUAGGGACCCCCUUUAACACUUGGCCCAAAGCAACAGUGUUUUGGCAAUUGUUUUAAUUAAAAAAAUUAAAAAAUUAAAACAGUGGGCAAAAUGAUGUCGUUUGUCCAUAUUGUUUUAAAUCCUAGGCCACAUCUUUCUCCACAGUCCCACUUUUCCCCACUUAUCUGCUUCUCCCAAUGUCCCAGCUUUCACAUAUUCACCCAAAUUCCAAUCCCCAACUCCCCGAUUUCAAAACCCUAAAAUUCUAACCCCACCCAAUCCCAUAUUAUAAUUUUAUUACUCUAAUAUCAUACCUCCACUUGUUUCAAAUCUCCAUGCCGCCACUAUUUGGCUCAAAAUUCAAGUAAGUUUUUUGGUAUUCUAAUCUAAUCUCAAUUAAAUUAUAUUAGAUAUUGAUGGAGAUUUUUAGUCUAUUGUUGAUAUGUUUUAUGUUUGUAUACUCAUUUGAUCAUUGGAAUAAAUGGAAUUUUUGUUUAUUGAUUAAUUGGUAGAUGUUUUGUGUUGUUUGUUAAAUGUGUAGUUUAGAAAUAAGAAACAUGGAAAGAAUUUUCAAGCCAAAGCCAAUAGCACCUUCUAUUUGUUCGGGUACUCCGAGCUCAAAACAAAAUGAGUGUGACAUUGAUUUUAAUAAUCUUGAGAGAGACUCGGGAAAAAGAAUUCGAAUGAAGGACUAUCCUCCUAAUAUUCAAGAUGAGGUUCGAAUAGCAUAUAUGCCAAUGGGACCUUGUAGGCCUACAAUGCAUGAGUUUCCAUACACUUUGCAUGCAAAGAAAAAGUGACGAUUUGUUGUUUCGUGGUUUGAAGAAUAUGAUUGGUUGAAGUAUAGUAUAUCUAAAGAUGCGGCAUUUUGUCUUCAUUGCCAUCUCUUUAAAAUCAACUUUUCACAAUUAGAAAGUGAUGCCUUCACUGAGGUAGGCUUUAAGAAAUGGAAGAAUGCAAGAGAACGUUUUGACAAAAAUGUUGGUCCUAUUGGUAGUGUCCAUAAUAAAGCUAGAGAAGCAGCUAGUUAUCUAAUGAAUCAACACAUAUUGAAGCAGCUGUGAUCAAAUAGUCAAAAGAAGAGUAUGAAAUAUCGUCUUUGCUUGAAUGCAAUAAUAGAUUGCACUAAGUUUUCGUUGUGACAAGGCCUUCCUUUUCGUGGCCACGAUGAAAGUGACACUUCGAAUAAUAGGGGGAAUUAUUUAGAGCUCUUGCAAUUCCUUGCAGAUCAUGAUGAGAAAAUAAAGGAAGUUGUGUUGGAAAAUGCUCCGGAAAGUCUCAACCUAAUAUAGCUCAUUCAAUUCAAAAAGAUAUUGUCAAUUCAUGUGCCUUCAAAACCAUUAAGGCUAUUAUGAAGGAAGUGGAAGAGAGUAAAUUAUUUUCUAUAAUGGUAGAUGAAUCACGUGAUGUUUCAACAAAGGAGCAAAUGGCAGGAGUUUUGCGUUAUAUGGACAACAAAGGUCAAGUAAUUGAAAGGUUCGUGGGGGUCCAACAUGUUACCGAAACAACUUUAAGUAAACUAAAGGAGUCCAUUGAUGAAUUCUUGAAACUACAUGAUUUGAGUUACUCUAACCUACGAGGUCAAGGUUAUGAUGACGCGAGUAAUAUGAGAGGUGAGUUCAAUGGCCUUUAAAAAAAAAAUUGGGUGAAGAAAGUUGUGCAUUCUAUGUUCAUUGUUUUGCUCAUCAACUACAAUUAGCUCUUGUUGCUGUAGCGAAGAAAAACUCUGAUGUUGCCGCUUUUCUUUUUACUAAUAGUUUGGUGAAUGUUGUUGGAUGCUCAUGUAAGUGUUGUGAUGCACUUAGAGAGAAACAACAAGAAAAUCUCAUGAAAGCUAUUGAAAAUUAUUGUCUUGAAAUGGGGGCAAUGAUUAAAUCAAGAAACUAGUCUCCAAUGUGUUAGGGAUACACAAUGGAAUUCACAUUAUGGUGCUUUGAUUCGUUUGAUUACAAUGUUCUCAUCUGUGGUGGAUGUGCUUGACAUGAUUGUUGAAGAUUGCUACUAUGAUAGUGUUGGUGAAGCAAAAAGGUUAUUAAAAGAUUUACAAUCUUUUGAGUUUGUGUUCCUCAUCUUUUUAUUGAAAUUCAUAUUGGGAGUUAAAAAUGAUUUGGCACAAGCAUUGCAAAAGAAAGAUCAAGGGUUGUGAAUGCAAUGACUUUAGUCAAGACAUGUAAAGAACAACUACGUUGCAUGAGGAAUAAUGAGAAAUUUGAUCUUUUGGUUGAUAAAGUAUCAUCUUUUUGUGUCAAACAUGAAAUUGAGGUACCUAAUACGGAUGGUUCAUAUGUCAUUCAAGGGAAGUCAUUGCGUAAGGCUCCAAAAAAGACCAAUCGUUAUCAUUACAAAGUGGAACUCUUUUUUGAGGUCAUUGAUUUCCAACUUACAGAAUUAGAUGAUCGCUUCGCUGAAGGUAAUAUUGAAUUGCUUAUAUGCUUGGCAUGUGUUGAGCCUGAAUGAUUCAUUUAUAGCGUUUGAUAAAGAAAAGAUUGUUUGCCUUGCUCAGUUGUAUCCUAAAUAUUUCAAGGAUCUAGUUAGAUCAGCACUUCAAGAUCAACUUGAUAUUUAUAUUCAUUUUGUGAGUUCUGAUAAUGAUUUUUCUCAAUUGCAAAAUUAAUGAUCGUGCUAAGAAAAUGGUGGAGAAAGGGUUGCAUCAAACAUUUGCAUAUGUAUAUUUGCUUGUUCAGUUGACUUUGGUUUUACUAGUUGCAACCGCUUCAGUGGAAAAGGCAUUUUCCGCUAUGAAUAUCAUUAAGGUCAACUUCGCAAUAAAAUGGGAGAUCAUUGGUUGAGUGACAGCUUAGUUGUUUACAUUGAGAAAGAUGUUUUUUCAUGUAUGGGUAAUGAAGCUAUCAUGAAACAUUUUCAGACUUGGAAACCUCAACGUGGACACUUUAAUUAGGAUUUUAUAGCUUGUAAUGUUGUUUUUGUAUGAUUUUUGAAUGAAAUGUAUUAUAAUUUCUUUUCAAUGUUAUUUUUGUCUAUAAAUUUUUUGACCUUUAUUAUUGGGACCACCGAGUUUAAAAUCUUAAAUUCGCCACUGACUCUAAGCAAGUUAGUUUAGCUGACACUGUGAAGCCAAAAAUAAUUCAAAACAAUACUAGAGCUAACAUGUAGACUUCUAUUCACAUUUGACAAGAAUGUUGUCAUAAAUUGGCGAGGCCCACAUUUCAUUCCACUGACAGUUUAACCAACAAAGAAGCCUAAGCCUUAGACUAAUAUUUCUCCAAGCUCAUUUGCACAUAACAAGGAGAUAAGGUAAGGGAAUUAAAGCUAGAACUAAUAACUAAUUCCUACCUUUAUGCUUUCCUAAUUGAAAACAUGUUCCUUUAUUCAAAGAAACGCAAUUAAAUCCAAUCAAGGUAUUCUCCAAAUAGAAUUCUUAGAUAUUAUCAUAUAUUUAAUAAUACAUGUAAGGACUUUUCUUAAACAUCUUUAAGAUAUUUCAACAUCUCAAAGAUAUUUUCCUACUGCAUCAAAGGGAUGACACACUUUGGUCAAUUGGACACGGACAUGUGGCAUGGCCUUUCCCACACACCAUGGCCGCCCACUAGCUUCCAUGAAUACCCUAUCACCAAUUCAUUCUCUGUAAAUUGAUCCUAUGCAAUUCAACCCAAAAUCUCUCUCUCUCUCUCUCUCUCUCUCUCUCUCUCUCUCUCUCUCUCUCUCUCUCUCUCUCUCUCUCUCUCUCUCUCUCUCUCUCUCUCUCUCUCUCACACACACACACACACACACAUUGAAACUAUCUUAGGCAUCAAAGGUAAUUGGACAACCCCCCUCCCCCCUAGGCGCAUGGCUUUGGCCGUAACCAAGGGAGUUAAUUUGUUUUGUUGGUAUAAUUUCGUCAAAUCUAAGGGCGGCAGAAUUUUGCAAAAACAAAUUGGUGCUUUCAUUAAGAGCUUGAUUUAAAUCUCAAAAAAACUCUCGCAAUAUUUUUUUUUUCAAAUUUCUACCUCUUUUAAUUUUUCUAAUGCACCCCCAUGUCCGAUUUUUUUUAAUUCUUCGAUUCACGUGCGAUAGGAAAGAAAACAUGGUUGGAAAUUCUGAACCACAACGAAAGGUUCAUAAGCGCCUCGUCCCUGCUCUGUCCCUCCUUGUGAUAGAAAAUGGAGGCUGGGCGAUUGCCUCCUCUCCUGACCCCUGUCACAUCCUCUCAAGCCAAAAUCGUAGCAAGAACGGCAGCGACAACACCAAAGUGCACAUUAAAUCAGGAUAAUUCGGAACUUGCAAAAAGGAGUUAGGCAAGAGUACUAGCAAAAGGAAGAUGUGGUAUUUUGGGUUUAGGAUAAUGAGUUUGAAAGAAUGGUUAUUGUACAUUCAUACAUAUCAUUUACAUAGGAGGCUUGAAUUUUUAUAAUUUCGUGUAGUCUUGGAUCUGUGAUAUUUAGAUGGGAUUAAUAUAUAAGAGUUGGGAACUUAGCUAUAUACUUUCUAUUUUAUUAGAAAGAACACUAUCAAGUCUAUCAAUCAUCACUACAGUUUAGUAGUAUUCCUAUUAUUAUGUCUAGUCCAUUUUAAAGCUUAGCUCAAUCUCCUACCUCAUACUAUAGAUAACAUUCAGGGUGGCCCUGGCUCAGUACCAGCAGGGUGAUUGUCUGAGGCCUUAGAAAAUUGGGGGCACAAAAAAAUUAUUAGGAUAGUGUAUUCAAAUAUGUUUUCAUAAGUGUAUAAAUUGAAACACGUUUGAUUGAGUGAACAAGAAGUACAUAUAGAGGCGCUGGUUUCAUAGUGUACUGAAAAGAAAGAGGUCUUGGGUCUUUGUGCGCCUUGUUUUUGUAUGCCUUGUUCUUUUCAAUUUUUUUACUAUUUUUGUUUAAUUGUUAAAUUCUUUUUACCUUUGAUUUUUUACUAUUUUUUUAUUGUUGAUUUCUUCUUUGCAAUUUUUUACAAAUUUUUGUUUCAUUGUUAAAUUCUUUUUACCUUUGAUUUUUUACUAAUUUUUUUAUUGUUAAUUUCUUUUUACCUUUGAUUUUUUUACUAAUUUUUUUUUAUUGUUUUUUCAAAUUUUUACUAUUUUUGUUUAAUUGUUAAAUUCUUUUUACCUUUGAUUUUUUCAACAAAGUUGACCUCAAGUUUGAUAAGGUUAAGGGGUGGUUUGGGAGUGAGGUGCUUAAAAAAAAAAGAACUUUAACGAAAAACACCCGGUACUGUUCACUUUAACGAAAAACCACAUUUUUACACUAAAAAGUCAAUCCUGGUACUAUUCACUUUACCCUUUAUUUUGUCCUUAUCAUUAAAACUCAAAGUUUUCAAGUCAUUUUCAUUAGUUUUCCUUAAAAAAAAAUACCCAUGAAAAAAAGCUGUGAGGAUUUUAGGUGUUUGGUAAACUGAAAAAAAAAUGGCUUAUUUUGGAAGCUGCUGUGAGAAUAAGCUGAAAUCAAAGGAAAAAGCUGAAGCUGCUAUUUGUAGCUUUAGAAAACUGGUUUUUUUUCAAAGCACACAGAGUUACAGUGCUCCUUUAAUGUAAAGACUCACUAUCAGACUGCUUUUUUUUCCAAAAGCACUUUUACAAAAAAGUUUAUCAAACACUCUGCUGAUUUAUUUCACAGCCGCUUAUUCUCACAGCACAGCCGCUUAUUCUCACAGCAGCUUUUUUUCAAAGCACAGCAAUACCAAACCAGCCUUAAGUUAGAGGAUACUUAUGGAAAUAUUAUCUAGGUGAGAUGAAGAGGGACAUGGAAUUGGGGACACAGACCUGGAGUUAAAUUUAGGAAACUUUAAUGAAAAGCUAUUGGUACUAUUCAUUUUAACAAAAAAAAAUCAUAUUUUUAUACUAAAAAAUCAAUCAUGAUACUAUUUACUUUAUCCUUUAUUUUGUCCUUAUCGUUAAAUCUCAAAGUUUUCAAAUUUUUUUCAUUAAUUUUCUUUUAAAUUUAAGAGCUCGUUAAACCUUUUUUUUUUUUUGAAAAGCGAGCUAGUUCAACUUUUGUCAUUCUAGAAGCAUGACAAGAAGUACAAUUGGAGAUGAAUUUUUCAACUUCUUUCUAAAUUUUAGUUAAAGCACAAAUAGGGAGCCAUCAAAGAUGUUCUAAAUAUUGUUAGCAAAGUUUUUACAAAUUAUAUUUGUAGAGAAAUUCUCUUAAAAAUGAAACUCUUCAUGAGUUUUCUGCCGCCUCAUGUUUUUUGUUCAAUAUUUUAUAGCGUAAUGCUAUGGAGACUAAAUUUCCAAACUAAAUGUAUCACCAAGGGGAAUAAGCACAUUUAUCAACGUUUAAGUAAUAAACCACUAAUCAACUUCCAUAUCUUUUAGUUUUCAAAACUGUAUUUAAAUUUAAUCUUCCUAGCUUUACUUUAUUUUAUAAUGUCGACACAAAAAUUAACAUAAAAUUUUCGGAUAAAAGAGAAUAUAUAAAAAACUCUACUUUAAGAGUCCCACUAUGAUGUAAAAUUGACGUAAACCUGUAUUAGUUAUGCAGCUCCCCUUUUUGUUGAACAACUUUAUACAGCUGCCCUUGAAGUUUGAAUGCUAGUUUCAACUGUAUUAAUUGGCACCGACAAGGAAACUAAUUAUGUAUGGGACCUGUUAUAAAGAAGAAAUUUUACUGUUCAACCGUAUUAACAUUGACAAUAUAAAACGUUUUCUGAGGCCACGGUCUGCUGUCUUCUGAUUGCAUUUAGUUUUGCGUCUCUGUACGAAUUGACAACACAAAACGCGUCGGGUUUUUGGGGCUAAGCCCUGCUGUCUUCUGAUUGCAUUUAUUUUUGUCUCUUUACGAAUUUUUGGACAUUUGACCCUCCAUUCAGUCUAAAAUUAACACUGUUAACUAUUAUAUAUUACUAAUUAUAUAAGUUGAAGAAAAAUAAAAACAACACAAUCAAAUAAACACCGGACAACAACCUACUCCAACCACCCCCAGUCACCUCCGAAGCUCAUCCUCACGCAAAGUUCCUUUUCUUUUUCUAUCUCUCUCCUCGAGAUCCUUCUCUCUUGAAUUCUUGCACUAGAUCGUGAUCCAUUCAUCCAUCUAGUCAAACAACAAAUGUUUUGUGGAGUUGGAAAUUUGAGAAUGGAAGAUAUAGUGAGGAAUUCGAUAGAGAAAGAUCUCGAGGAGAGAGAGAAGGAACUUUGCGGUCGGUGAGGAUGAGCUUCGGCGGUGACUGGGGGUGGUUGGAAUCUUUCUUAAGCGGCAACAACGAACGCAAAUACGCCCAGAUCUUGUUGUUUCAUUUUUGCUGAAACAGUAUCAGUGAAAUGUUUUCUGUCACAAUUAAAAAAAUUAUCGUUGGUGAGGACGAGGAGAGGGAUGAGGAUCACUUGAGACAGUCUUUUGUUUUUCGAUUUUAAUUAACUAAUCAAUUAAUUUUAGUUUUAAUUUUUUUUCCAAAUUAAAAAAGUAACAUUUAACGUGAAAGUUGGUUAAAAUUAGAUGAAAUAACACAUGAUAAAUAAUUAGAUAUGUGCUGAGCAUACUUUAUAAUUAUAUUGCUUUGACAGCAGACCUCUUUGCUGGUCACAUUAUUCUAUAAAUACAUGGCUUCAAGCAAACUGAUGAAAGGUUUAUAAUUUGAAUAGUAUACAUAAACCAACAUGGAGGUUUGGGAAGAGGAACUGGAGCCAGUGAGCCCUAAUGGCCACUAUUUCAACAGCUCUGUUUUAUCGAUAUCUGUUCUUGGUGUUUUGGAAUUUGAAAUUCCAAUUGAGGACUCUCAAACUUUGUCAUUGCUCGAGAAUGUGUUCCUGCCCAUCAACCCACGCUUCUCCUCUAUAAUGGUACUCUCUCUCUCCCUCUCUUUGUUUCCUUCCUUUUACUUGUUAAACAACUUUUCAAAAGCAAAUUUUGUUUGAAUAGUUAGUUGAAGGUAGGAGAAUUAUGUUAAUUUUUGCAUAAACUAUCAAAGUCAGUUGAAUUUAAAAUUUAUUACUUAUACGGGAAUAUAAAUAUCAUUAGAUUUAUAGUGAAAUUCCUCUUAACUAAGUAAAAGAUUUUAGGUUCAAAUACAUUUUCUAUUUUGGGUUUUUGUCACAAAUAAUAUUUGAAAUUGACCAAUCUCAAUAAAAUAAUCAUUGAAAUUGAAAAUCGAUUAUUGUAAUCCUUAAAAAUGAAUAUCGCAAAUCAAUAUAAUUCUUCCAUUAUAAUUUCUUUAAAUUUUUUGUUAAGUAUUGAUUUGACACAUGAAUAAGUUUUAUAAAUCUAUUAAAUACUACCAUGUGAAUCAAAAAAUAUUUAAAUAAAAAAACUUUUAUUUUUACAAAAAAAUAAAAAAGACCGUUCAUCAUCUUCUUUCCUCUCCCACCGGGCAACCACUACAGCCCCGCACCACCCUGUCGACUGCACCUUCGGGUCGAGCGACACCGGAGAGGUUUCAGUUCGGAUUAUCGGCGCCGGAUAGCACGAGAACCGCAAGAACGGGGGUGCGACCGAUUGGACUGUCUGGAGCCGACCGAUACGAUAGCGGAACGAGAGAUGUAGGUUGGGGAGGACAUGUGGUUAAGCUUGGAGUCGAUCAGACGGGGUGAGAGUGGAGGUGGUGGUGGUUUCAUUGAUGGAGGGGAGAGGUUGGGAGCUGAGGAGGAGGAAGAGGAAGGCGUUGGUGGUGAGAGAGUGUGGGUUAGGUGGUCAAUGCUGGGUGGAUGGGUGGGUGUGCGGGUAUAUGCAUAUGGCAAUUGCAUUGUGUAUUUUUACAGGGUUUGGGUUGAUGGCUGUGUCACUGUAGGAGUCGGGGUGUGUGUUCGGUUUUUGGGAAGGGGAAGAAGAUGAUGAACAGUUAUCUUUUUUUUAAUUUUAUUUUAAAGUUUUUAAUUAUAUAACAAAAACUUAUUUAAAUAUUUUCUAAUUCACAUGGUAAAAUUUAAUUAGAUUUAUGAGUCCCAGUUAUGUGCCACAUCAGCAUAUAACAUAUUUUUUGACACAAUUAUGGCAGAAUGACCACAUUUAUUUGUAAUACCAAUUUUCAGGGAUUACGUUGAUUGAUUUUCAAUUUCAAUGAUCAUUUUGAUGAGAGUCAGUUUCUUGAACUACAUUUUUUACUGGUUUCAAAAUUUUCCAGAUGUGAGCAUAAUUUGUUAUAGGGCAAACUACAUUUCAAAUUCUUCCGGCUUGGAGUGAAUUAUGAACAAGGUCAUGAAGUGUGUUUUUUUUUAGGCACCAGAAUGGGAUUUUUUUUUUUAUAUAAUGAAUUCAUACUAAACAAUACAAUUAAAUCGUAGUAUUAAGUGGUUGCCCCAUAAUAUAUUAAAAUUGUAUCACUUGAUGCCUUUGGUCAGUUUGAUUGUUUGAUCUUGUUCGAUAUUCAGAGAGACGAAAUAUUGAUCCAUUCCUAACUUUAUCGUCAAAAGUCUCAAUAAUAUUAGAAGUGGGACCAUACUUAUAUGUUGUAUUUUAUUUUCUCCCAUCGAAUGACAUCCCCUAGCUUGAUAAAGUUCUAGAUCUAAAGCAUUGUACUAGAUCAUUAUGGUUAUAGGGAUGUGAUAUCCACAUACCUCUUUUUACUUCUCUCACACAUUUUUAGUUUUCGACAGUCGGAUCGGAUGAAUUGAAGAAGAUCAACGGACAUAAAUUAACAAGGGUGUGUGAGAAGUAAAAAUAGGUGUGUGGAUAGCAUACUCCUGAUUAUAUUGCAUCAGUAUAGUACGUUGGCUAAAAGUUUUUUGGGACGUUUGAAGUUUCUUUUGAAGUAUUCUUUACAUGAUGUGCACUUUUUCAUGAACAGUAUUUAUUUAAUUUGGAAACAGAUUGAAAACAAUGGAAAGAAACAAUGGAAAAGGGUUGAAGUGAAGCUUGAAGACCAUGUUAAAACUCCAAUUUUCCCUUCCAAUUUGUCGAAUGAAUCUUAUGACGAGUAUUUUGAUGACUAUGUCUCAAGCAUAGCUACUAAAAGAUUUCCACAAGACAAACCACUGUGGGAAGUUCAUGUUAUAAAGUACCCAAAUAGUAAUGCAGCUGGUAAUGUAAUAUUCAAGUUGCACCAUGCAUUAGGUGAUGGCUACUCUCUCAUGGGCGCUCUUCUCUCCUGCCUACAAAGGGCUGACAAUCCUUCUCUUCCACUAACUUUUCCUUCACUGCUGCCAUCAGAAACGAAGAGUGAAAAUAUUAUGACCAAAACUAUCUCAUCCUUGUUGAGCACCGUAUCAGAUUUUUGGUGGGGCAUUUCAAAGAGCUUCAAGGGGGAAGAUGAUCCAUCACCAAUAAAAUCCUCGAAAAAUGGACUUGAGUUCGCGCCAAUUACAAUAUCAACGAUUACGAUCUCCCUUGAUCGAAUCAGAUUAAUUAAGAGCAAGCUCGGAGUGGUAAGUAUCAAGUUUUCUUUGCAAUAUUUUGGUUUAUGCAUGUGUGCAUCUAUUUUUUUCUUUAUAAAAUACGAGAAUAAGCUUUCAUGUUUGACCUUCCUUCUCCUGUUUAAAAUAAAAGUAUAUGUUGUCGCUUCUUUUUAAGCCAUUUGUUCUCGGAACUGAAUAUAUGUUUAGCCAUGCUAACCGUCUGCUUGCAAGUCAAUCUCAAUGCCUUAAUGUAAACCUAAAAAGGUCUGAAAGCCGUAACAAAAACCUACCCCGUGCAUGGUGGGCAUGAUUAUUACUAACCACUAAAAUUUAAAGUACAAAAUACUAAAGAAAGUCUAAAACUGCCUAAUUCUUUUUUUUUUAAAUUUUUUUUUCAAAGUCAAUGUGUCUACUUCAUCCUAAAUUCCUAACUAGUAUAUCUGACCUAUUGAAGCUAAUGAAGAAGCCCUGAAACCAUGAUUUGUUCAACUAUCCAUUAAAAGAACACAUAAUUUAUCCAUAAAUUUCACCAUAAUGGUCUUGAUAUUGUUGAAGCUCAAGGUGAACAGUUAAAUUGGGGACUUUGAGUCCUUAGACUCCCCAUACAUUAUACUUUCAUAUUGAUCUUUUAAUGGCUAGUAACAAAAAUCUCUUACAUAUCAUUGUUUAAAAUAUUGAGACUAACAAAAAAAAUAGAAUGAAAUACACACACAAAACGCAAAUCACCAAACACCAUAUUUUCAAAUUUGUAAAAAAUUGUAACACAGUUAACUUAUUUACUAUCACAGACGAUAAAUGGUGUUCUUACUGGGAUGGUCUUUCUUGGCUCCCGGCUAUAUAUGCAAGAGAUGAACCAAAGCUCAAGGGAAGCGCAUAGCACAGCAUUGGUUUUACUAAAUACAAGGAUCAUGGCGAAUUAUACGUCGAUUGAAGAAAUGGUCAAACCCGAUAGCAAGAGUCCAUGGGGAAACCAUUUUACAUUUGUGCAUGUUCCCAUUCCCAAGUUGACUGAAUUCUCAAAUGUGCUUGACUACGUUUGGAAGACACAUAAAAUAAUCAAGCAGAAAAGAAAUUCUUCAGCUAUUUAUUUCACUAGUGGGCUAUUGAAGAUGCUGAACAAGUUUGGAGGCCCCGAGGUUAGUAAAUAAGGACUCAUUUGGUACACAUGAUUGGAUUGAAAUGGAGAAUUUUCAAAUUUUAAGCUAUAUUGAAGGUGGAUGUUAAUGAUUUUCAUUUGGAAUGAAUUAGAACAGGAUUAGCUAUGAAGAAAAUUCAUUUAUGAAGGUUUAGAAUGAACAAAUUUUCUUCAUGAGUAAUCUAUCUUCAAUUCUCUCAAUGGUCAUAGUUGUAUUAUUUCUUUAUUUUUUAACGUACUUUUAAUUUAAUAUUCGUUCCAUCCAAUCAUGUGCACCAAACAUACGAAAUGCAUGUGAUAUUUCAUAUAUACAACAUUUAUCUAAAAAUUAUAAGGCUACUGGUGCAGGCAGCAUCAAGAUACGUCUGUAGCACAUUAAAGAACUCGAGCGUGGUGGUCACAAGUAUGAUUGGCCCGGUGGAAAAAAUGUCUUUGGCAAACCAACCAAUCAAGGGGUUUUACUUUUUGACAGUUGGGACACCUGAGGUAAACCAGAUAUUACUAGAUGAGUAAUGCUAGAGAGAUUAAAUUUGUUGACAAAGUUUUAAAAAUUAAAAGACAUGAAAGUUGAUGAUUGAUUUAUUACUUAAACAUUGAUAAACAUGCUUAUUCUUUUUUGUGACAUCAUUUAGUUUGCAAAUUUAGUCUCCAAAUUUAAUCUUCCUAGCAUUAUCCUUACUAUAUCAUGCACACACGUACGGUCUCAAAAGUUUUGGAAACAAUAAUAUUCAUCGUCCGUUUCUGUAAUCAGAUACAUAAUAAAUUAAGGUUUGGUUGAUUAACAAGGGCUAUGUGGUGUUUCUGUGAUUGUCUUGUUCGUUUAAGGCUCUUCUAGUAGCAUUUCAGAAAAUGAUAUUCCAAGAACUGUUUUGCAAAAUGAAAACAAUAUAUAAAACUUUGCAUUUUUGAUGAUGAGUUUGCAUCUUCAUUGAGUAAAUGAAUUUAUUGAUUUUUAUCUGUAUAUAUGUGAGGUAUGUUUUCUUAAUGAUAGUAGAGAUAUAUUAUACAUACACACACAUAUAUAUAUAUAUAUAUAUAUAUGUGUGUGUGUGUGUGUGUGUGUGUGUGUGUGUGUGUGUGUGUGUGUGUAUAUACAGGUAACACAAUUUACAUGGACCUGCAGGAACUUGACAUAUCAAUCGUAAGUUAUAUGGGAAGGGUGAAGCUUGCCUUCACAGUGAAAAAAGGCAUCAUAGAUCCACAAAAGUUGAAGUUGUGCAUGGAAAACGCCCUCAAUAUGAUAUCCAACGCCGCAGACAAAAAUUCUAUGGAAAAUAGCACUGAAGAACAGUCACACAUUUGAAACUCUACCAAAACCGUAGAUCUAAAAAAUUCAUAGACGGCAGGACUCUUGCUCUAGCUUAAGGCUGGUGGCAGCCUUCUCCUCCUUCCCUUUACCUCCUCUUUCUUGUUCUUAUGGAUUGCUCAAAUUUGUUUCGUUUUAGUAUUUCGUCAAUAAGCGCCUCCUUAGUGAGGUUAUUUGUGAGUCUCUCCUAGUGAGUAUCUUAGUUUUAAGAUGAUGUGUUCUCGGCCCCUCUUGGGUCUACAACGUAUUUUUGGUAGCUUCGCUAAUGGUGUUGAGCAUAAAAUUCGAGUUAGUAUGGACACCAAUUGGUUUGUUGUCAAUUCCUUUUCGGAGUUGACGCUGCUUGUUGUCAAAGAGUGUCCUUAUGCUCGUUAUAUUGCAGUUUGGGCAAAACCACAUAAACACACUGUCAUAUUA